AGGUCAUUUUGGGGACAAUUUCUUAUUAACCCUUUAUACCUCUCCCAAGCCUCAUAUAAGAACUCCCCCACUUGUAGGUCAAAGUUUUCUAUGGCCUUCUUGAGUUU